rnacentral:tRNA from 1 species
GACUUACGACGAGGAUGAAAGAUUAGUUUAUUUAAGUUAUAUGUUCCCUAAUCAAUGGAAUAC